rnacentral:tRNA from 1 species
AGUUAAUUAACUUUUAAAGUGUUUAUAUCUUGAAAAUAUAAAAAAGAAUAGUUUUCUAUUAACUU